GACGAACGCUGGCGGCGUGCUUAACACAUGCAAGUCGAACGAUGAAGCCGGAGCUUGCUCCGGUGGAUUAGUGGCGAACGGGUGAGUAACACGUGAGCAAUCUGCCCUUGACUCUGGGAUAACUGCGGGAAACUGUAGCUAAUACCGGAUACGACACCUUGGGGCAUCCCAGGGUGUGGAAAGAAUUUCGGUCAAGGAUGAGCUCGCGGCCUAUCAGCUAGUUGGUGAGGUAAUGGCUCACCAAGGCGACGACGGGUAGCCGGCCUGAGAGGGUGGCCGGCCACACUGGAAAUGAGACACGGUCCAGACUCCUACGGGAGGCAGCAGUGGGGAAUAUUGCACAAUGGGCGAAAGCCUGAUGCAGCAACGCCGCGUGAGGGAUGAAGGCCUUCGGGUUGUAAACCUCUUUUAGCAGGGAAGAAGCGAAAGUGACGGUACCUGCAGAAAAAGCACCGGCUAACUACGUGCCAGCCGCCGCGGUAA
rnacentral:rRNA from 1 species